UCUUACCAUGCAAGUCGAACGAUGAACCGCUUUCGGGCGGGGAUUAGUGGCGAACGGGUGAGUAACACGUGGGCAAUCUGCCCUGCACUCUGGGACAAGCCCUGGAAACGGGGUCUAAUACCGGAUAUGACCGUCUGCCGCAUGGUGGAUGGUGUAAAGCUCCGGCGGUGCAGGAUGAGCCCGCGGCCUAUCAGCUUGUUGGUGAGGUAGUGGCUCACCAAGGCGACGACGGGUAGCCGGCCUGAGAGGGCGACCGGCCACACUGGGACUGAGACACGGCCCAGACUCCUACGGGAGGCAGCAGUGGGGAAUAUUGCACAAUGGGCGAAAGCCUGAUGCAGCGACGCCGCGUGAGGGAUGACGGCCUUCGGGUUGUAAACCUCUUUCAGCAGGGAAGAAGCGAAAGUGACGGUACCUGCAGAAGAAGCGCCGGCUAACUACGUGCCAGCAGCCGCGGUAAUACGUAGGGCGCAAGCGUUGUCCGGAAUUAUUGGGCGUAAAGAGCUCGUAGGCGGCUUGUCACGUCGGUUGUGAAAGCCCGGGGCUUAACCCCGGGUCUGCAGUCGAUACGGGCAGGCUAGAGUUCGGUAGGGGAGAUCGGAAUUCCUGGUGUAGCGGUGAAAUGCGCAGAUAUCAGGAGGAACACCGGUGGCGAAGGCGGAUCUCUGGGCCGAUACUGACGCUGAGGAGCGAAAGCGUGGGGAGCGAACAGGAUUAGAUACCCUGGUAGUCCACGCCGUAAACGGUGGGCACUAGGUGUGGGCAACAUUCCACGUUGUCCGU
rnacentral:rRNA from 1 species